rnacentral:rRNA from 1 species
UGGGGAAUAUUGCACAAUGGGCGCAAGCCUGAUGCAGCCAUGCCGCGUGUGUGAAGAAGGCCUUAGGGUUGUAAAGCACUUUCAGCGAGGAGGAAAGGUGAUUAGUUAAUACCUGAUUACUGUGACGUUACUCGCAGAAGAAGCACCGGCUAACUCCGUGCCAGCAGCCGCGGUAAUACGGAGGGUGCGAGCGUUAAUCGGAAUUACUGGGCGUAAAGCGUGCGUAGGCGGCUACUUAAGUUGGAUGUGAAAGCCCCGGGCUUAACCUGGGAACUGCAUCCAAAACUGGGUGGCUAGAGUGCGAGAGAGGAGUGUGGAAUUUCCUGUGUAGCGGUGAAAUGCGUAGAUAUAGGAAGGAACACCAGUGGCGAAGGCGACACUCUGGCUUGACACUGACGCUGAGGUACGAAAGCGUGGGGAGCAAACAGGAUUAGAUACCCUGGUAGUCCACGCCGUAAACGAUGUCUACUAAUUGUCCGUUGUCUUGUACGAUGGGUAAUGCAGCUAACGCGAUAAGUAGACCGCCUGGGGAGUACGGCCGCAAGGUUA